AGAAUGUAGAAGGAAUGCCAACAGAGUGAGCCAGCACAGAAAGACAAACUCAGAUAUUUCUUGUUCAAAAUCUAGAUUAAAAACUCUAUACUUAUUCAUAAACAUAUACACAUAUAUGGGCACACGAGACAUAAAAAAACAAGGGUGAAUGGAACAAGGACACGACAGUUUCACAGUAUGGGGUUGAAGAGAGAAGGUUUUUAUUGUAAAUACGAGGAAGAGUACAGCCAGAAGCAUCUGGAAGAGUCCAGAUCAAUGGGAGAAAAUGGUAGACUAAACAUGGCCAGUAGACUGAACUGGACGGGAACAGUUGGGAGUUCCUGGGGACUUGUUCCUUUUCAUUCUGAGACCUUGAACUGUGGAGCUAAUGGCUUUGUUCUCAGGGGAGUGUUGAAGAAUCCUUCCAUGAAAAACUUUCACCCUCAGGACCCAAAUUAAGACUCAGAAGCCACUCUAACCUUCUUGUAACAAGGUGAACACAAAACUAAAAACAAGGCAGAAGACCCUACCUCAACCCCCCAAAAGCCCUACCAUGUGAGUGAGUGUCCUUGUUCCCAUUACACAGAUAAACAAA
rnacentral:lncRNA from 1 species